CCAUUUUCUAAUGGUCCGCCCCUAAGUGAAGAGAGCCAAGAUUUUAUUGAUUGUUGUUUAUUAUUUGUUCAUUACAAGUUUAUUUAUUAUCAGAGAUGAUCUAUACUGUUACCCUGGAUUCCAGAGCCUUCGACAGUAAAUAAUAAAUUGAAAUGUCACGAAGGCUCUGGUUCAACGGGGCGAUUCUUUGAUUAAACCGCGCCAAUCACAAAACAGAAUUAGUGGUUUUAGUACAGAAUCUGUACUAAAACCACGAAUUCUGUUUUGUGAUUGGCGCGGUUUAAUCAAAGAAUCUCCCCGUUGAACCAGAGCCUUCGCGACAUUUCAAUUUAUUAUUUACUGUCGAAGGCUCUGGAAUCCAGGGUACUAUACUGUCUAACGUGUACUGAAACUCUAACUAUGAUCAGCCCAUCAUGAAUUCCAGGUUGCAGUAUGUUUCUCAGUUACAUAAAGACUUUGGAGGUUUUAUCAGGGUCGGCGAAGCCGUAGGAUUCGUCAUUGUCUGCAAAGCCAAUUCGAAAACGUAUUGUAGGUCGCUGUUUUUUCCCAACUCGGAAAACGUGUUUAUCUGGUAGAUAUAGGAAGUUACGUUUGACAUUUCAUCUAUUCCGUUAAUGUACUUGCCAACGGCAACAACAAAAGUUUUCACACCCGGAAUAUUCCGCUUUAGCUUUUUCGCACUGCAUGCAUGGCUAGUGUUUUCUGCUAUAUAAUCAUUCGACCGUCCAUCUGUCACGAGAAAGACCAGCUUU